UAAAUCCGGUUCACUUUAACACUGAGGCGUGACGACGAGGCACUACGGUGCUGAAGCAACAAAUGCCCUGCUUCCAGGAAAAGCCUCUAAGCAUCAGGUAACAUCAAAUCGUACCCCAAACCGACACAGGUGGUCAGGUAGAGAAUACCAAGGCGCUUGAGAGAACUCGGGUGAAGGAACUAGGCAAAAUGGUGCCGUAACUUCGGGAGAAGGCACGCUGACACGUAGGUGAAGUGAUUUACUCAUGGAGCUGAAGUCAGUCGAAGAUACCAGCUGGCUGCAACUGUUUAUUAAAAACACAGCACUGUGCAAACACGAAAGUGGACGUAUACGGUGUGACGCCUGCCCGGUGCCGGAAGGUUAAUUGAUGGGGUCAGCGCAAGCGAAGCUCCUGAUCGAAGCCCCGGUAAACGGCGGCCGUAACUAUAACGGUCCUAAGGUAGCGAAAUUCCUUGUCGGGUAAGUUCCGACCUGCACGAAUGGCGUAAUGAUGGCCAGGCUGUCUCCACCCGAGACUCAGUGAAAUUGAACUCGCUGUGAAGAUGCAGUGUACCCGCGGCAAGACGGAAAGACCCCGUGAACCUUUACUAUAGCUUGACACUGAACAUUGAGCCUUGAUGUGUAGGAUAGGUGGGAGGCUUUGAAGCGUGGACGCCAGUCUGCGUGGAGCCGACCUUGAAAUACCACCCUUUAAUGUUUGAUGUUCUAACGUGGACCCGUUACCCGGGUUGCGGACAGUGUCUGGUGGGUAGUUUGACUGGGGCGGUCUCCUCCUAAAGAGUAACGGAGGAGCACGAAGGUUGGCUAAUCCUGGUCGGACAUCAGGAGGUUAGUGCAAUGGCAUAAGCCAGCUUGACUGCGAGCGUGACGGCGCGAGCAGGUGCGAAAGCAGGUCAUAGUGAUCCGGUGGUUCUGAAUGGAAGGGCCAUCGCUCAACGGAUAAAAGGUACUCCGGGGAUAACAGGCUGAUACCGCCCAAGAGUUCAUAUCGACGGCGGUGUUUGGCACCUCGAUGUCGGCUCAUCACAUCCUGGGGCUGAAGUAGGUCCCAAGGGUAUGGCUGUUCGCCAUUUAAAGUGGUACGCGAGCUGGGUUUAGAACGUCGUGAGACAGUUCGGUCCCUAUCUGCCGUGGGCGCUGGAGAACUGAGGGGGGCUGCUCCUAGUACGAGAGGACCGGAGUGGACGCAUCACUGGUGUUCGGGUUGUCAUGCCAAUGGCACUGCCCGGUAGCUAAAUGCGGAAGAGAUAAGUGCUGAAAGCAUCUAAGCACGAAACUUGCCCCGA
rnacentral:rRNA from 1 species